rnacentral:misc_RNA from 1 species
UCUCCGUUGGUGAACCAGCGGAGGGAUCAUUACAGGAUCGAAAGACUCCUAUAACCCCUGUGAACUUACUACAAAUACGUUGCUUCGGCGGGUGCCCCGGGUCUCCCGGGGCGUUCAGCCCGCCGGCAGCCUUCAAAUUCUGUUUCUUUGCGUUGGCAUCUCGAGUAUACAAAAAUAAGUUAAAACUUACAACAACGGAUCUCUUGGUUCUG